rnacentral:rRNA from 1 species
UACGUAGGGCGCAAGCGUUAUCCGGAAUUAUUGGGCGUAAAGAGCUCGUAGGCGGUUUGUCGCGUCUGCCGUGAAAGUCCGGGGCUCAACUCCGGAUCUGCGGUGGGUACGGGCAGACUAGAGUGAUGUAGGGGAGACUGGAAUUCCUGGUGUAGCGGUGAGAUGCGCAGAUAUCAGGAGGAACACCGAUGGCGAAGGCAGGUCUCUGGGCAUUAACUGACGCUGAAGCACGAAAGCUAGGGGAGCGAACGGG